rnacentral:rRNA from 1 species
UACGAAGGGGGCUAGCGUUGUUCGGAAUUACUGGGCGUAAAGCGCACGUAGGCGGAUAUUUAAGUCAGGGGUGAAAUCCCAGAGCUCAACUCUGGAACUGCCUUUGAUACUGGGUAUCUUGAGUAUGGAAGAGGUGAGUGGAAUUCCGGGUGUAGUGGUGAAAUGCGUAGAGAUCCGGAGGAACCCCAGAGGCGAAGGCGGCGCCCUGGCUCGCAACUGACGCUCAGACACGACAGCAUGGGGAGCGAACGGG